rnacentral:rRNA from 1 species
UACAGAGGUCCCAAGCGUUGUUCGGAUUCACUGGGCGUAAAGGGUGCGCAGGUGGGUUUGCAAGUUCGAUGUGAAAGCCCCGGGCUUAACCCGGGAAUGGCAUUGGAUACUGCAGAUCUGGAGGAUCGGAGGGGGGACUGGAAUUCCUGGUGUAGCGGUGGAAUGCGCAGAUAUCAGGAGGAACACCGGUGGCGAAGGCGGGUCUCUGGGCAGUAACUGACGCUGAGGAGCGAAAGCGUGGGGAGCGAACAGG